UUUUAAAACCUCACAAAUUAAACUGACGCAAUUACAUACCUAUAUAUUUAUUUUUGAGGAUAUAAAUUCACCUCUUACUACACUAUUCUCACAUAACAACAAAAAAGAGAAGAAAAAAGUUAAAGGAAGAUCUUGUGGUAAGUUGUAUGCCUUCACUAAAAUUUAUAAACUUUUUGAAUAGUUUGAAUCUUCAUACAUAAUUUUUACUAACUACAACUCU
rnacentral:lncRNA from 1 species